AUCCUCUGCAGCAAUGCGAUAUGGCCAAUGUCUUUGUUGACUAGGUUUAAAAGAAGCUAGAGGAUGGUCAGUUUAGACUAGCCCGAGUGCUAAGCAUUCUUGGGUCUAGCGCUGGAUUGUCUAUUUCACUAUCUUUUA
rnacentral:misc_RNA from 1 species